CCUACGGGAGGCAGCAGUCGAGAAUCAUUCACAAUGGGGGAAACCCUGAUGGUGCGACGCCGCGUGGGGGAAUGAAGGUCUUCGGAUUGUAAACCCCUGUCAUGUGGGAGCAAAUUAAAAAGAUAGUACCACAAGAGGAAGAGACGGCUAACUCUGUGACAGCAGCCGCGGUAAUACAGAGGUCGCAAGCGUUGUUCGGAAUCACUGGGCGUAAAGCGUGCGUAGGCUGUUUCGUAAGUCGUGUGUGAAAGGCGCGGGCUCAACCCGCGGACGGCACAUGAUACUGCGAGACUAGAGUGAUGGAGGGGGAACCGGAAUUCUCGGUGUAGCAGUGAAAUGCGUAGAUAUCGAGAGGAACACUCGUGGCGAAGGCGGGUUCCUGGACAUUAACUGACGCUGAGGCACGAAGGCCAGGGGAGCGAAAGGGAUUAGAUACCCCAGUAGUC
rnacentral:rRNA from 1 species